UCCCUGGUAGUCUAUUGGCUAAGACUCUACGCUCCCCAUGCAGAGUGCCCAGGUUCAAUCCCUGGUCAGAGAA
rnacentral:tRNA from 1 species